UCUCACUCAAGCAGCCGGUCAAUCUCUGUCCAGGGAGUCUGAAACCGCCGUCGCCGUCGUCGAUCUUCCAUGCAAAAAUCGUCUUCUAGCCGCUUAGAUUAGUCUCUAUCGGAAGAGAAGCGAUUAUCACCGUGUACCUGCAGAAUUGGAAGAAAUUACUUCUAACCUCUACAACACAUAAUGCAUCACGGCUCAUUUCCUGGUAGUCACCAACCAGCGAGUCAACUAGAGAGAGAAAUGUCCAAUCAGGCUGCAGAACUCGAACAACUUUUGAUAGACAACCAUAGACUAGGUUCUUCACUGAUGGUGUUAAGACAGGACCUAGUUAAUGCUCAGCGUGAAAUUGGAGGAGUUCGUGCACAUACACUUAACAUUCAGCAAAGAGGGCGACAUAGAGGUCAAGGGCUUUCUUGAUUCGAUUGGUAAAAUGGGUGUUGAUUUAAGAGCAGGAGAGAGAGUGAAGGAGGAACUGCUGCAAGCCACACAAAUGGCACACAGCUUGGACAAGGAAAAUCAGGAACUAACGCCAAAAUCACAAGAGGCUACUGAAGAGCUGAAAAACUUCCAUGCGGAUGGCAAAAGUAUACAGGAAAUGCAUGUAGAACUCCAUAAUCUAAAACAAGACGCCAUAAUCUGCACGCCACUUUUGAGCUGGAUAAAGUUCAGAACCUGAAGGAAGUGCAAGAGAUGGAAGAGAGGGAGAGAGACAUAGUAAGAUUGGUGGAAAAAUUGGAGAAGUUGCGUGCUGAAAUGGGACGUGUAUAACGCAAAUGCACCAAGUGGCCUAAAUCCUAAUUAUGGCCCUCUCUACCCUCAUUUCCGUUCAUGGUGUUGGUCCAUCCGAGACCUACGAGUACCACAUCAACCUCGAAUGAACUAAUUUAGAGCUGCGCUGUCGGUUUCUUCUGCUUGGAAAGGAGUAUAAAGAGUUUUCAUGGUCUAAUAUUUAGAGGUAUUCCCGAUAUAACUUAAUCUUGAGAACUUGGAAGAACAUACAAAAGCUGAAAGGAAAGAAAACCAGUAACUGAUGUUUGUUGUUUUUUGGUAUAGAAGAUGGAAGCUGACUAUUUUGGAUAUUUUAUUCUUUGAUUUAUUAGCUUACUAGAAUGUUGGAAACGACAACUUCUUUUGACUGA